GUGACACCAGUGACACCGGUGACACCAGUGACACCAGUGACACCAGAGCCAGCAGCGCUGGGGGGCACGGGGGGUCAGGGACAGGAGUGACAGCAUGACAGUGCCAGCAGUGGCAGUGCCAGCAGUGGCAGUGACAGUGACGCCAGUGACAGUGACAGUGACACCAGUGACACCAGUGGCAGUGUCAGCAGUGCCAGCAGUGGCAGUGACAGUGACACCAGUGACACCAAGACCAGUGACAGCAGUGACACCAGUGGCAGUGCCAGCAGUGCCAGCACAGCUCGGGCACAGCUCAGAG